GCCGACCUUUGGAACCUAUCUCGGACUCAAGGCUCUUAACCUUGUGGUCGUGGGUUCGAGCCCCACGGUGGGCG
rnacentral:tRNA from 1 species